rnacentral:rRNA from 1 species
AUUGAACGCUGGCGGCAGGCCUAACACAUGCAAGUCGAGCGAGAGGCGGACGGGUGAGUAAUGUGCGGGAAACUGCCGGAUGGAGGGGGAGAACAACUGGAAACGGUAGAUAAAACCGCAUACCAUCGGAUGUGCCCAGAUGGGAUUAGCUAGUUGGUGGGGUAAUGGCUCACCUAGUCGACGAUCCCUAGCUGGGCUGAGAGGAUGACCAGCCACACUGGAACUGAGACACGGCCCAGACUCCUACGGGAGGCAGCAGUGGGGAAUAUUGCGCAAUGGGCGCAAGCCUGAUGCAGCCAUGCCGCGUGUAUGAAGAAGGCCUUCGGGUUGUAAAGUUCUUUCGGCGGGGAGGCGUUACCCACAGAAGAAGCACCGGCUAACUCCGUGCCAGCCGCCGCGGUAAUUC